CAACGCAUUUGCUUUCAGGAAAUGCAACCUUUCUAGUUUGAAUUAUUUUGAAGUUAUGGUGGAAACUGGAGCUGGACUGGUAAACAGAGAAAGGACAGAAGAGAUGAAGAAAGGAAACAGGAGAGUGACAGAGCCCAGUCUGAAACACUUAAGGAUAGCUUCUCAGAGAUGAAGAGAACUAAAGGAGUUAAAAUGACUGAAAACAGAUGCUGGGUGGAUCCUCUUCUUUGAAACAGAUAAUGUGGCAUCGUGUCCUCCUCCAUGUCAGAGACCAGCACCGCUGCUCUUUUGGAAGCUGUGACCACGGGCCACUUGAUGAGAGCAGCAGAGAUAAGCCAUGGAUGGUGUGAGACUCUCCAUCACAUCAGGCUUGUGCAUCCAUCAUCCCUGAUAAACGCUGACUGAAGGAGAAGUUUACCAACUUUCACACAACACCUGACCUGGAAUCCUUUCAGAACCACAUCCUCUUGUAUGCUGCAAAAUGCUUUUCAUUCAGCUCACCAGUGUAUGAGGCGCACACUCCUCUGGCACCACACCCACAGGCCUGCAGCCCUGACUCUGAUGGUAACAAUAAAGGAAUACUUGGAAGAUGAUUGAAAUCUGGGAAGAGACUUCCCAAAACAAGAACACUAAGACCUGAUGAUCAAAGAAGACUUGGACAUCUUCCUGGGAUUCCUCCACCACCUACAACAGAACUAGCACAAGCAUGCAUCCAACGCAGAGAAGUUUGUACACAUAACCUGCCUGUAUGAAAAGUGUAAAGUUGUAUCAUCAUACACCGUGUAACAGAUAUGUAAAUAUGUAAAGAACUGUAAAUAUUGUAUAUUGAAAAUAAAACACAAGACUGUUUAAAGAAAACAAA